AAGGGCCACCUUAACAAGAUCGCGCAGAGAGUGUUUUCGGGAGAUUGAAGUUCAGAGCCGUAUCACCACCGGCGUUCGUUAGAGACUGCAUAAAUUUGGGAAGUUUUCUUUGUCUUUAAAAUCCGUGAUUCUCCUGCGACUUGUUAAACUAAAAGAAAUCAGCAGAAUGGUAAAGCAUCUAGGAGGAGAUUGGUGGUGCCGUCUAAGGGAAGACCAGGGGAGUCUGUCCCUCCCUUCUGAAGCUCCGAGAGUGUCUGGAGGGAGAGCAGCUCAAUCAACCGAGUCGCAGAUCUCCUCCACCACUGCGUUGAAGAUGUGUGGCUGGUCCGCGUACACGUGGUGUGAGGCGCCCUCGAUCUCCUGUGGAUGGAGGACCCCACCAGGGGCGGGACAGCCCUUUAUUCAAGGCACUGGAAAGCUAUUGCACCAUUUCUUUUUCCCUUAAGCCUGCUUGCCCGUCGCCCAUGAGCACUUACUUUAUCUAAGACAACAGUCCACCUUUCUCCCCAGAUCUUGGCACUUCCCUGUGGGAGUCAGUGAAUCCCAAUAUCCCAUCCUUACUUCUCCCAUGGCGCCUGAUUUUAUCUUUCCUUCCAUGCCAGCCCCUCCAGCGACCUGCUCAUGUCAGCGACCUGCUCAUGUCAUCCACAUGUCCACUAAAGCAGGGCCCAUCAGGCACCAGCCUAAUUAAGGAUACUCAUUAGCAAAUGAAGGUGGGGGGGGCGGAGGAGUGUGGUGGGAAGGCUUCAUGGCAGCCUCUACAGUUCCCAGCUCUGGUUUGGGGUGGGAAUUACAGGGGGUGGAGGGACAGCAUGGUGCCUGUGCCUGACUACUGGACAAGAAUCUGCCUUUCAGCUGAACUGAGCUACACAGAAGUGAGAAGCCCCUAAUUAUGAUUUUACAGAGAGCCAGCCCUUUCAAAUCCACUACCAUAGCUCAACCUGUCCACUCCUCUUUCCCCCCGACUCUCCCAUCACCCUUCGCUACCCUGACUCAGCUACUCUGGGUCAGUCAACACGUGCUGGGAUGUUGCAGUGU